rnacentral:lncRNA from 1 species
UUUUGUCAAUUGAGAAAAAAAUCCAUUUUCAUGGUUUGAAAAUUUCUACAUGAGAAUAAAAGGAAAUACCAGUUUUAUUGGACAAUGGAAUUGACUUUUACCUCCUGUGAAAAUUAGUGUCCAAUUAAUAAUAAAAAAUCCACAGUAACUAUUCUCUGAUGAGAUUCCUGACUUGGAACAGGUACAUAACUGAAUGGCAGGGUAUAACUGGUUUUUAAAAUACUUAACCCUCUCUAUUUUUAUCUUGAGUAUUGAAAAAAAAAGCGUGAAAGAUGGAAGUUAGUUCAGAAAAGACUAUUUAAAUCAACAGUUUGAUCCAUUGGCAUAAAGGCAAAGAAGUUUCAUUACUAUGCUAAUAGCGAAGAGAUGUUCAUGGCUGUUAAAUUUGUAAGUGGUUAAUGGGCUCAAAAUAUGGUUGUAUCUAUAUGCAUCACUUGGACCAUGCUGUCAGCACUUUCUGGCAGCAAUAUAUUUAUUUUUUUCCAACCAUGCUUGUUCAUAACUAAAUUAUUUUAGCAAGAUUAUAGGGUACCAGGUACUUGAAAUUUUAGGUUGUACAAUAAAAAAAAACCUUUUUUUUAUGCAGCUAUAAAUCAUUAUAAUUUUUGGGAGACUAAUUGUCUAUAUGCUAGUAUGCAGACUUUGGCAAGUCCAUAAUAUCAAAUAUCCACAAAAUAUGCAACUUUUCCUUAAUCCAGGAUAAAUUGGCUUCAAUGAAAAUAAAUUAAUCCACAUUAGUUAAUACAUGUAUUUUAAAUACAGAAUUCUGUAAAUUCAGAAAUUAUUGAAAGCAUUUAUUAUUACGAUUUUGUCAUUUUAGACUUAAAUGCUAUUUUAAUUUCUACGAUCAAAAUGGGAGUUUAAAUUAUUGCGUUUACAACUUUAAUAAAAACCUCGCAAUAAUUUCUGAAUUUACAGUAUUUUGUUUAUUUUAAGGCAGCGUCUGAAUCUCUUUCUCUGUUUACAUUAUUGUAAUUUUCAUCUUGAUCCAAGACAUGAUUAAAUGUAAAUGUGCCAAAAUAUCUUAUAUGAACAAUGAAUGUGAAAUAAUAUCAUAAAUAUUAUUUUUAGUACUUUAUGUAUUGUUUGACAUGUAUACAAAUCUGUUAUAUGUCAUUUUCUAAACAUCUAAAUUCAUGUCAUGACAUGUUUAUUCAAGUUCUCAGAAUUAUAACGGUAUACUAUUCUUAGCAUCCAUGUUUAUCUAUGUUUCCACUUUCAUAACCAUCACCAUUUCUCAUUGACCAAUAUUUAAGUGUUUUCUUGAUUUUGAUACAAAAGUUUUACUUUCAUGUUUAUUUUGAUGAAGUUUCACAUCAUUCUUAGGUUCUUUGAUACAGCAUUUUAUGUAAAAAGAUGUGUCUAGCAUCACUCUCAUCUUCUAAUGAUAAUCACUUAAUAAAAGGAAUACAAAGGUUAUUUUCAACAAUAUUAUUACUUUUGACAUGUUUGAUGUGCAUUAAAAUAUGAGCAAGAGCAAACUAUUGUUCAAAGAAUGUGUGAUAGAUUAAUUAUUGAAUCUCAUCAUGUCAAUACUUCAGAAACAUACAAUAUCAUUUAUAAAAUUAGAAACUCAUACAAUUUUAUCUUGUGACUAUCACCAUAUACAAAUAUAUACACUAAUAGUCUGAAGGUCUAACUCAAACCUCUCCAGAAUUGAAAUCCCUUGAAACUACCAGAGUUAAUAUUUAAUGUUGUAUACAAUAACAUCAUUUUUUGUGUUCUUAAUGUUGAAAUCAUGAGUUUAUAUUAUAAAUGGUCCAGGGAAUUAUUAAAUAUUUUAUGGUCCUGGGAAUUAUUAUAUAUAUAUUGUGAGUAUAUUGUAACUUGUAGUAUUAAUAAAUGUAAUUACUGCUGUAUUUGUUCUUGUCAAUUUUUAUCUGCAAAGAAACUUGUAUGUUGGAAAGAAUACGGGAUGAAUUAUAUUGAGAAUGGAAAUGGGGAAUGUGUCAGAGAAACUAACCUUAUCAAAGAGCAGAAAAUAGCCCAAGGCCACCAAUGGGUCUUCAACACAGUGAGAAAAUCCUGCUCCCAAGUCUUCAGCUAGCCCCUAAAUAAAAGUGUGUACUAGUUCAGUGAAAAUGGACGUCAAACUAAGUCUGAAACAUAGAUGAACUAAAAUAAUAAAAAA